AUAGACGUUUAGGAUGAUCGGCUCGUUUGCCAUCACUGGCAUCAGUUUUCUCCCCCUAUGUACCUUCUUCUCUCCGCGGGUCUUCCUCCUUCGCACGCCACCUACUCUUCCUUCGGUGCGAGAUCCAAACUCUCGCCCUCCAAAAAUAGACCUUUACUCCUCCCCGUAUUCCUGGCACUUUCACGACAGAUGACCAGCUUGAUAAUUCAAUUUCACAACCCGGUGUAAAAACGUUUGAGUUCCGAGGGUAUUUUUACCGUCCAACAUCUGACUGGCUUUGUCCAGAUCCUCCCCCCCCGCGGUCACAGCAGCGGCAGCGGCGGCGCACAGAUGAGCCACUCGCUUGUCAAAACGAACAGACUUGCUAAACGCGUUCAGCUACCGAGGUCGAAGUGAAAAAGCGGACUCUACACCGGGAAUUUUGUCUUCUAGGAGGCGCGCUGGCACAGGAAAAUCGCACAUUCAUUUUCCCAAACGAAUAAAUAAGCAAAAACACAUAACGCUGAGAAAUGAAAACACAAUUUCCUCAGUAGUAAUGACUCGCUGCUGCUCCCCUUCUUAUUAGCUAGCUAACGGUAGCGCUGGAGCUGGCAGGCAGCAGGAUGCGCCUGGUGGGAGAAAAUUGGACGGUGAGUGAGAGGCAGAGCGGCCCAGCGGGGCGGUUCGAUGAUUCACACUCGAUCAGGCAACCUUGGUGCCCUGAGCAUUGUGGGUGAUGUAGUUCUUGAAUUGAAACUAUCGAGAAAAAACCCCCGACUCCCAGCAGCUGAAUCAUAACCAAAAAGAUGAAACUACACAACGUACCCAAAAAUACCAGGAUGCGUGGGAGAACAGAGCCACCAUCAACCCCAUCCAACACCUUUGGGAUGAACUGGAGUUCUAACUGCGAUCCAGGCCUUAUCACCCAACAUCAGCACCCAACCUCACUACUGCUCUUGCGGCUGAGUUGAGCAAAUCCCUGCAGCCAGGUUCCUAAAUCUUGUGGACAUCCUGAAACCAGAGGAGUGGGAGGCUGUCAUAGCAGCAGAUUGUUUUUGAAUGAGAUGUCAAACAAUCACAUUUCCAUGAGCGUCUCCUGGUUAGAGAACUCCUGCAGCGAGGAGUUCAUCUCAUCCAGCAGAUCCUCUCCAAGCAGGAAGCUCUUGAUGUCGUGCACUGUCAUGCCGAUCCGGUGGUCUGUUAUACGGUCCUGGGCGAAGUUGUAGGUUCGAAUCUUCUCUGAUCUGCCUCUCGUGCCAAUCUGGAGGAGGAGAAAGAAGAGGGGGAAGAAGAAGAAUGAGUAAAGUUUUGAUCUGAGCAUUGGUGUGUGUUAAAAUGCACAUUAAACAUAUUAAUGUUCCCAUGCUCUGUAAGUUUUCUAUUUGUACUAUAUGUUCUACCUUUAUUUUGCAUUGUUUAUUCUUUCCAGCUCUUUUUAUAUUUACAAUAUACAAAAUCACAUGUGUGGAGCUUUUUAUAAAGUAUUCAUUUACUUCUUUGGCUAGUUAAUAAAAUUUUAUUAUUAUUCAGUUAAUUAUAAUAUAAUAAAUUUAUCAAUAUUUUCUAAAGAAACAUCACUUGGCACACCUGUAUUUUAUAUUAUACUGUCUGUAUCUCACCUGUAUUUUAUAUUAUACUGUCU